UACGUAGGGUGCAAGCGUUAUCCGGAAUUAUUGGGCGUAAAGAGCUCGUAGGCGGUUUGGCGCGUCUGCUGUGAAAACUGGGGGCUCAACCCCCAGCCUGCAGUGGGUACGGGCAGACUAGGGUGCGGUAGGGGAGAUUGGAAUUCCUGGUGUAGCGGUGGAAUGCGCAGAUAUCAGGAGGAACACCGAUGGCGAAGGCAGAUCUCUGGGCCGUAACUGACGCUGAGGAGCGAAAGCAUGGGGAGCGAACAGG
rnacentral:rRNA from 1 species